GGAUCGAUUAGCCAUGCUAGUUGCACGAGUUGAGACUCGUAGCAGAUAGCUCAGUAACACGUGGCCAAACUACCCUCUGGAGGGGACCAACCUCGGGAAACUGAGGCUAAUUCCCCAUACCGCUCGACGCCUGGAACUGGCGCGAGCUCGAAAUGCCCCGGCGCCAGAGGAUGUGGCUGCGGCCGAUUAGGUAGACGGUGGGGUAACGGCCCACCGUGCCAGUAAUCGGUACGGGUUGUGAGAGCAAGAGCCCGGAGACGGUAUCUGAGACAAGAUACCGGGCCCUACGGGGCGCAGCAGGCGCGAAACCUUUACACUGCACGCCAGUGCGAUAAGGGGACUCCAAGUGCGAGGGCAUAGAGCCCUCGCUUUUCUGCACCGUAAGGUGGUGCAGGAACAAGUGCUGGGCAAGACCGGUGCCAGCCGCCGCGGUAAUACCGGCAGCACGAGUGAUGGCCGCUCUUAUUGGGCCUAAAGCGUCCGUAGCUGGCCAGGCAAGUCCAUCGGGAAAUCUCCCCGCCUAACGGGGAGGCGUCCGGUGGAAACUGCCUGGCUUGGGACCGGAAGACCAGAGGGGUACGUCUGGGGUAGGAGUGAAAUCCCGUAAUCCUGGACGGACCACCGGUGGCGAAAGCGCCUCUGGAAGACGGAUCCGACGGUGAGGGACGAAAGCUCGGGUCACGAACCGGAUUAGAUACCCGGGUAGUCCGAGCUGUAAACGAUGUCUGCUAGGUGUGCCACAGGCUACGAGCCUGUGGUGUGCCGCAGGGAAGCCGUGAAGCAGACCGCCUGGGAAGUACGUCCGCAAGGAUGAAACUUAAAGGAAUUGGCGGGGGAGCACUACAACCGGAGGAGCCUGCGGUUUAAUUGGACUCAACGCCGGACAUCUCACCAGCAUCGACAGUAGGAGUGACGGUCAGUGUGAUGAGCUUACCAGACCUACUGAGAGGAGGUGCAUGGCCGCCGUCAGCUCGUACCGUGAGGCGUCCUGUUAAGUCAGGCAACGAGCGAGACCCGCACUCCUAAUUGCCAGCAACACCCUUGUGGUGGUUGGGUACAUUAGGAGGACUGCCAGUGCCAAACUGGAGGAAGGAACGGGCAACGGUAGGUCAGUAUGCCCCGAAUGUGCUGGGCAACACGCGGGCUACAAUGGUCGAGACAGUGGGAUGCAACCCCGAGA
rnacentral:rRNA from 1 species